rnacentral:rRNA from 1 species
UGGAGCAUGUGGUCUAAUUCGAAGCAACGCGCAGAACCUUACCAGCCCUUGACAUGGUCACGACCGGCGCAGAGAUGCGCUUUUCCCGCAAGGGACGUGAUGCACAGGUGCUGCAUGGCUGUCGUCAGCUCGUGUCGUGAGAUGUUGGGUUAAGUCCCGCAACGAGCGCAACCCUCGCCUUUAGUUGCCAGCACGUUUGGGUGGGCACUCUAAAGGAACUGCCGGUGACAAGCCGGAGGAAGGUGGGGAUGACGUCAAGUCCUCAUGGCCCUUAUGGGCUGGGCUACACACGUGCUACAAUGGCGGUGACAAUGGGAAGCCAGGCAGCGAUGUCGAGCCGAUCCCAAAAAGCCGUCUCAGUUCAGAUCGCAGCCUGCAACUCGGCUGCGUGAAGGUGGAAUCGCUAGUAAUCGCGGAUCAGCACGCCGCGGUGAAUACGUUCCCGGGCCUUGUACACACCGCCCGUCACACCAUGGGAGUUGGUUUUACCUUAAGCAGGUGCGCUAACCCGCAAGGGAGGUAGCUUGCCACGGUAGGAUCAGUGACUGGGGUGAAGUCGUAACAAGGUAGCCGUAGGGGAACCUGCGGCUGGAUCACCUCCUU